CUGCUGACAAGGAAUCACCUUGGUCAAGUCUUCUAAUCCUUCUGCCUGAUAAAUUUGAAAGUCCCUUUCAAAUCUGUGAGAUAAUUGUUCACCCCAUCUCCAAGAUCUUUCUUGUGGGUAACCUUGACCCUUAUUUCUCUUGUGAUUCUAAAUUCUACAUGUAUCCAUGCUUACAUUCAGGAUCCUAAGAUUUAAAGCUAGAAAGGAGCUGGAAGAUUAUAUAACUCAACCUCCUCAUGUUAUAGCUACUAAAAAUAACUGAUGUUCAUAUAGCACUUUUACAUAGGUCUAAAAAGCUCUUUACCUAGACUGUCAUUUAAGCCUCACAGUACCCAUAUGACAUAGACAGUACAGGUAUUAUCUCCACUUUAUAAAGAGAAUAAGUGACUUGCCCAGUCACAGAGCUAAGGAUUUGAUCCCGGUUUUGCUGACUCCAAGUCUAGUACUUUAUUCACUGUCAUGCAGAUGAGGAAAACUUGAGGCCACAAGGGGAAGUAGACCUGAGACUCACUAUUCUAGUGCUCUAUAUUUUGAUGUCUUUUCCUUCACAGUGCCUUUCACCUUUCCUUUCCCUGCUUAACCCCCAAUUCCUACAUUUGUCUAACACCAGGCACACCACAAUUCAUUCAUUUUGCUUUAUGAUGUCAGGCUUCCCUCCUAGUAAGCUAGGUAUUUCUGAAACAUGAUUACUGACUGAGAUUGGCCAUGCCUGGCCCUGUUAGCCUUUAUACCACAUAUGCUCCACAGUCCCAGACUGGGCUUCCAAGAGGGUAAUCUGAUUUGGGAAUUCUCUGCCCGAGCAUAUCUCAACAUGUUUCACUUUUAUUCCAGUUCUGGUGAAAAUGUGAUCCCAGCAUCUAUCAUCUAGAGUACCUCCUGAGUGGAAAAGGGAUUAAGCUUUGAACUAAUUGGUGAUGUGUAUAGCUAAACAGAUGACCAGCCCUGGAGCAGAGAAGCCACUUUCCCCAGCAUGUUGGCAGAGAUCUGAAAAAACAGAGCAAAAGGAAUGGAAUCUCUCAUGCAAUCAUUUUCCUGCCUUGGGCUUAUAUUGGAGCAACCUCCUUUUACAAGCUUCAAUGACUUUGGUUCACUGGGUCUUGGUUUUGAGGAUUGUAUGGUCAUUCUCCUUUGUAGUAUUUUUUCCUACCUGGCUGCAGUUUGGUGGUAUUCUAACAAAAAUGGAGUAUGCCAGUUGCCUCUUACAAAUUAGAGUCAACAUUGAUGAAAGAAAGAAGCCUUCUAAAGCUCCAUGCCUUCUGCUACCUCAACAACAGCCCUAAAAAGAACCCUCCAAGUAAAAGCAGAAGAACAGAUGCCUGGAGAAACCAUCAUUGCCCCUAAUUGGGGCCUUGACUCAAGAUCUCUGGUGCUGAGAGAGGAGACCUUUGUCCUGCUUCCCUCACCUCGGUGUCUGGUGGCAUGUCUGUCUUCUGUCCUGGAUACUGCAUGUCUGUCCCCAACCCCGGCCCCAAGUGUUCUUCCUUCUGGUUCUCAACGCUCUGCACUUUGUGUCCUUGAACUAAGUGCCUGCAAAUUCACAUUAUGUAAAAAUGGCUUUACUUGUUAUGGGCCAUUUAUGUAAAGUAAGAACGGUCUGUGUUUGUAUCCCUGGUGCUUCAAAGAGUGCCUGGCACAUA